rnacentral:rRNA from 1 species
GACAGAGGGUGCAAACGUUGUUCGGAAUUACUGGGCGUAAGGCGCGUGUAGGCGGCUCGGCAAGUCGGGUGUGAAAGCCCUGGGCUUAACCUAGGAAGUGCACUCGAAACUGCCAAGCUUGAGUUCUGGAGAGGAAAGCGGAAUUCUCGGUGUAGAGGUGAAAUUCGUAGAUAUCGAGAGGAACACCGGUGGCGAAGGCGGCCUUCUGGACAGCAACUGACGCUGAGACGCGAAAGCGUGGGGAGCAAACAGG